UUUCAUGUCUAAAAAAAAGCCAAGGCUAGAAAAAAAAUAAAAAAAUAAAAAGGCAGCCUUUCUUGAGUAAAAAAAAGCCAAGGCUCGAAAAAAAAUAUUGAGCGAAAAAUAGAAAUGAUUCAAAAGAAUAAGUUGACAGAUGGUCGAAAAAUCUCAUGUUUGGGGUGUUGAGCUAUAAGAAAUUUGUAUGCAGUGAGUGAGAUGUGAAAGGUUUUGUGAUGGAUGUGCUAGUAUUUUAAGAAUGGUGGUAAGCUACUUAACCAAAUAUUAUCCCACCUCUACCAAAAGCCCCAUUACAUCCCAAUGAAUAAGACCUUUUGAUAUGUGCAUCAUAUUGACUUGGGAGUGAUGAAUUUUGCUUGAUUUUGGGAGAAAGAUCUUAUGUGCUUAAAAUAAAGAAUAGCUAGAAGAACUUCUCUUUAUGAAUUAGUGACGAUGGUUUGAGACUCCCAAGACACAACUCGAACUUAGAUUGAAGCAUGGGAUGCCUAGUUCUUAGGGAAUUAGUUCGUGUACAAUUCUUGUUCUUAAGUUUUACCCGCGAGUGAAUUCGGGGUCGGCCUAAUUUCCCUACCGAUUCAUAUGGUUUGGCGUGACUUGAAGCAGAGGAUUAUCUAAUAUCUUUAUACAAUGGAAUGGAGGGUAGCGUAUUACUGCUCCUAGCCAAUUUUGGCCACUUCGAUAUUAAGUGUCUCUCAGUUCAUACUAAAGCCGUCAAUGAAGAACUACUGCAAAAUCUUUCUGAUGCUCUACGCUUGUCGGUACCUGAUAAAAUUGGAGUUGAUCUUGCUUUGUCUAAAACUGACGAUCACGAUAUUAGGAUGUGUGGAAAGAAUUUUUCUUUGAGUCAGAUUAAAGAGCUGUGUUCCAAUCUAUUGCAUUUGAGGCGACUGAGAUGAUUGCUCGUGUUACACUUAGUUGAUCUAACAGCCUCUCUAAGCAUUCAGAUUCAUUCUUGCAAAUGUUAGCUCUUGUGCAACUAAGGUGCUUUCCGUGAUAGUUCCUCGUGCAAAAAUAGACUAGAAUUUCUUAGUCAAUCUGAAGGCCAAGGCCCAACUACGUGGAGAUCACUUCUUCAGCGUUGUUUAAAACGCGCCGCGCAGGUGGAAGAGCAAGAUCUGGGGACGGCAGCCCGGUGGGGGCAAGGCGUAUGGCGGUAGGGGGAGACUUAGUUCUUAACUUAUAAGAAGCCGGGGGAAAUGGCUCUUUCCCAAGUACUUCCUAGAUAUGUUUCUUUUUUACAUUGGCAUUCGGUUUGCUGUACCUGCAUUAAAAAAGAAAUCGUGGGCCUUGGAAGCUGGAUGAACACUCAAUUAGUGUCUAGUAAAGAUGCUUUGUAUGAGGUUGUGUGUAAGGCUGCGUAGCACGUAGAACUCAGUCCCGUGUUGAGAGCGCUACUUCAGUGUUGAUAAGUUCUAGAAAUGUCCCCUGUUCUUCUUCAGUGAGGUUCUCGCUUCCUGUAUAGGGGUGUGAUCCUGGCACCACCCCUUGCUUUCUACCCAAACAAGAAUCACUAACAGAGUUGACACCGAUAAAUGGAAUCCAUCCACUGAUACGCAUCUUCCUUGAUUGAUAACCGCUCUGCAAAUGUUGUGAUGCACUCAAAAUUUUAAAUAUCAUUUCCAGCUUUUUUGUUUGUCUACGACAGUUAGAUCAUCUAUCGAGGGACCGAAUUUGCUUUAGAUUGCAAACUUGAGUUUGCUCAUACUGCUCAUCGAAAUUCUGCUGCUGUUCAUUCCUGGUUGAGUGUAAGGCUGCGUAGCAAGUAGAAGUCAGUCUCGUGUUGAGAGCGCUACUUCAGUGUUGAUAAGUUCUAGAGAUGUCCCCUGAUCUUCAACAGUGAGGUGUUAUAGCUGUAACCAUUACUCGUAGGAUUUUUAUGCUAGAGCACUUUGAGCACAAAAUUUUGCAGGAACUAGCCCGGAGUUGCCCUGGUUCUCACUUCCGGUAUAGGGGUGUGAUCCUUACACCACCUCUUAAUUGCUUUCUACUCAAACAAGUAAGUAUUCUAUCCUCUUUACAUUUUUUUGUCCUUCACAUUGAAGGUAAUGUUUAGAAUAGUUUUGAGGUGUGGGUGUCUGCGUGCAUUCUUCUUUUUGGGGUUGUAAUUUAUCCUAUUUGUGUGUAUAUGUAAGGUUUUCUCUCUAUUAAUUGUCACCAGAAACACUUUUUAAUGGUUUAUUAGUGUAGACUUAGUUUCUCUCAAGGGUUGGAGAACUAAGAUUCCCUAAUUUAAAACACCUUACUUAUAUUUUAAUAUGUGAAAAUGAAUUUGUGCUGCUGAACAAGACCAAGUACAUAUAUUUUCUAUGGUUGCUUGAAAUUUUCUCUGUGGUGAACGUGGAGUCUGUUGAUGUUUUUUUCCGUUGAAUGGGAUUUACUUUUUAAAUCAAUAAUACUAGCAAAUAACUGAUAUAAAAACAUUGGUAAAGGCUUGUGUUAAUUUAGUCCAUUGAGCAUGGGUUUGGAAUUCAUAUUGUUUGUAUUUUGUCCUUGUUGCCUUUUUUAACCUUGUUUACAUGCAGUCCAAACCAGUGAUGGGGAAUAGAUCAACAACUUUCUAUUAGGAGAUAGCAUAGAGACAGUGUUGUGCCACUUUUUUUAUGCUAGCAUUUAUGUGCAAGGUCAAGUGAGCCUUUUGUCCUAAGCUAGGCCACCUGUCACAUUCACAAAAUGAGUUUAUGAGGUGAUUCCGGACAAAUUCUAGGACAUCUAAGUUGAUUCAGGAAAGAAUCGAUCCAUCCAGAGCUCAAAUGCAUUUCCAGUUUGCCCCUCUGCUUCGUCAGUGGGUGGAUUUUCCUGGAAAUUUGCAUCUCUACUUCUGACCAAGUGAGUGUUAGCACUGGAAUUGGUGCUAUUCCCCACACACCUGAAAUUGGCUCUGACGAGAUGGAUCCUGUUGGAUCCCAGAUUCGUACAAGCUACUGAUGGACACUAAUGCAAAUCUGUCUUCCGAGCAUCCCGGGACAAAUGUCUCUGCGCCAUUUAUAACCUUUGGUGAUGCAUUGCACAUGUACCAUACUAUCUCAGAGAAGAUAUAUAUACUAUGCGCCUUAACUCUUAAAUAUCAAUUCCUUAUAUCUCGUGCCCAAAAAAUUGCCUCGCUCAUGGUUGGACGGAGUGAGUACAAAAUAACAAACUAUAGCUAUAUAUUUAUUUUACUAUUAUCUUAGUUGGUAAUUGGUAUCCUCCAAUAUGUUGAUGUCAACUUAUUAUGUUGUUUUCCUUUUUUAAGACAUGGUGGAUUAAGCAUAAAACUUUUACUGACUUUUCCAACUCUUAAUUUGAUCAUGCGUUUUACCUAGACUUCAAUUGUAGAAUCCACAUCCAACAAGGUAUGAAUGUUAUUUAUUGAGCUAAUUACAUGUGUAAAGCUACAUUGCUUUGCAUCAUGGACAUUAGAUUGCUAUGUAGGUAAAUUACUGCUUCUAUACUGUUUGCAAAGAACCGAGCUUAAGCAGAUUGUUCUUGAGUUACUCAAAAUAUGCACUGAUUCUCAGGAUAAUAUUUCCGAUGAUGACUAUAUAAUUUCAAAAGCUGGGCUCGGUCUAGAAGUGGGAAUGAUGUCAAUCCUACAUGAUAAUGAAGCACAAGUCUGAAUAGCAGCUGCCGAAAAGGAGUUAAGGAGGAGCUAACUUCUAAAGGAGGCAAGAUGAGGGAAGAAAUACCUAACCCCCAUCACCUAACUUCCCAUGCAAACAAGGGAGUAUUUUGUUUCCCCUCACAUUUUUUUCCUUCACAUAAAGGGCAAUGUUAAGAUUAAGAUUUGGGGUGAGGGUGUUUGUGUGCAUGCUUGAUUAUGUGGUUGUAAAUAAUUUUAUUACUCUAUCUCCGAUUCUGAAGGACCCUUUUUCUAUAACGAUGCGAAUACUAAAGAAGUUAUGUGUUUUAAAUAGCAGGACUAUGCCAUGGAGCCCGAUGAGAAACUUAUGCGAAAUGCAGCACAUUAGAUGGUAGCAAGGAACCUUUACGUGGUUCAGUAUCAAGCCAACUCAGAAGGUCACUUCAGGGCUUGGCCAUAGCAAAGGAUCUUCUGGAGCAGUCAUUUUAGCGGGUGACUAAUGGAAUCACAGGCAGCGAUGAUACCGAUGAAUGGAAUCCAUCCACUGAUACACAUCUUCCUCGAUCGAUAGCCGCUCUGGAAAUGUUGAGUGCAAGGCUGCGUUGCAAGCAGAACUCGGUCUGUUGUUGAGAGCGCUAUUUCAGUAUUGAUCAUGUUCCAGAGAUGUCCCCUGAUCUUCAACAAUGAGUUGUUAUAGUUGUAACCACUAAACGUUCUCGCUUCUGUUAUAGGGGUGUGAUCCUGGCGCCAUCCCUUACUUGCUUUCUUACUCAAACAAUCCAAACCAUUUAUGGGGAAAUAGAUCGAUUACUUUCUAUUAGAAGAAAGCAUAGAGACAGUGUUGUGCCACUUUUUUUAAUGCUAGCCUUUAUGCUCGAGGUCAAACGGAAGCCCUUUAUCCUAAGCCAAGGCACAUGUCACAUUCACAACAACGAGUUUAUGAGAAUCGAUCCACCCAGAGCUUCAAAUGCAUUUCCAGUUCGCCCCUCGGCUUCAUCAGGAGCUGGAUUAUCCAGGCAAUUUGCAUCUCCACUUCUGACCAAAUGAGUGCUAGCAUUUACUCAUCUGGCCUUGUUAGCACUUGAAUUGGUGCUAUGCCCCAUACACCGGAAAUUGGCUCUGACGAGAUAGAACCUGUUGGAUCCCAAAAACUAAAAGGAAUCAAAUUAGUAAAAUUCCGGUGAUCAUUUUUCAUUUCGCUCAUCUCAUAUUUCAAUUGGCGAUGUUCCACAAACUCUUAAAUGCUGCACAUCCUACGAAUGCAAUUCUGUCUUCUGAGCAUCCUGGGACAAACCUUGAUAUUAGAGAGUUAAGGAGGGGCUAAUUUCUAAAGGAAGCAAGAUGAAAGAAGAAAUACCUAACCCCCAUCACCUAACUUCCCAUGCAAACAAGGGAUUAUUUUGUUUCCCUUCACAUAAACGACAAUGUUAAGAUUAAGAUUUGGGGUCUAUGCCACGGAGCCUGUUGAGAAACUUAUACGAAAUGCAACACAUUUGUAGUAGCAAGGUUGACAAACUUAUACGAAAUGCAACACAUUUGUAGUAGCAAGGUUGACAGGAAGUCAUGCUAAUGUAACCUGUAGGCUGAGUGUAAGGCUGCGUAGCAAGCAGAACUCGGCCGCGUGAUGUGAGCUCUACAUCAGUUGAUCAAGUUCUUGAGAUGUCCCCUUUCAACAGUGAGGUACUUACCCCGGAGUUGCCCUGGUUCUCGGUUCCGGUAUAGGGGUGUGAUCCUAGCACCACCGCUUAUUUGCUUUCUAUGCAAAAAAUUAAGUAUUCUAUCUCCCUUUACAUUUUCAUGCCCUUCACAUUGAGGGCAAUGUUUAGAAUAGUUUUGAGGUGUGGGUGUUUGCGUGCAUUCUUCUUUUUUGUGGUUGUAAUUUAUCAUAUUUGUGUGUGUUUGCAUGGUUUUUUCUCUAUUGAUUGUAACCAGAAACACUUUUUUAUAGGUUAUUUGUGUAUACUUAAGGCUUGGAGAACUAAGAUUCCCUAAUUUAAAACACUUAUUAAUA